ACGCGGGCUCUUCCCAUUGCUGGGAUGAUUCAUGAUAACUCGACGGAUCACAUGGCCAUCGUGCCGGCGAUGCAUCCUUCAAAUUUUUGUCCUAUCAAGUUUCGCUGGUAGGAUAGUAUCCUACCAUGGAGGUGAUGGGUGAUGGAGAAUUAGGGUUUGAUUUUGGAGAGGGAUCCUGAGAAAUGGCUACCAUAUCCAAGGAAGACAGCAGGAGCGCAAAUUACCAAAUCCUUACACGGGGAGGUAGUCAUAAUAAAUAACAAUACCGGGCUCAAUUAGUCUGGUAAUUGGAAUAAGUACAAUCUAUAUCCCUUAAAGAGGAUCCAUUGGAGGGAGUGUCUGGUGCCAGUAGCCAUGGUAAUUCCAGCACUAAUAGCAUAUAUUUUAGUUGUUUCAGUUAAAAAGCUCAAAGUUGGACUUUGGGAUCGACCGGCCGGUCUACCUAUGGUGUGCAUUAGUCGUCUCGUCCAUUCUGUUGGGUCGUGCCUCCCGCGCUGUUACUUUGAAGAAAUUAGAGUACUUAAAGUAAGCCUACACUGUAUUUAUUAGCAUGGGAUAAUAUUAUAGGAUUUUGGUCCUAUUAUGUUGGCCUUCAAGAUCGGAGUAAUGAUUAACAGGGACAGUCGGGGGCAUUCGUAUUUCAUAGUCAGAGGUGAAAUUAUUGGAUUUAUCAAAUACAAACAACUGCGAAAGCAUUUUCCAAGGAUGUUUUCAUUAAUUAAGAACGAAAGUUGGGGGGCUCGAAGGCAGUCAGAUACUGUCCUAGUCUCAACCAUAAAUAAUGUCGACCAGGGAUCGACGGAUGUUGCUGUUAGGACUCCACCGGCACCUUAUGAGAAAUCAAAGUUUUUAGGUUUUGGGGGGAGUAUGGUCGCAAGGCUAAAACUUAGAGGAGGUGAUAGAAGGGAACCAGAGGAGGUGACGGAAGGGCACCACCAAGAGUGGAGCCUGCGGCUUAAUUUGACUCAACACGGGGAAACUUACCAGGUCCAGACAUAGUAAGGAUUGACAAACUAAGAGCUCUUUCUUGAUUCUAUUGGUGGUGAUGCAUGUCCGUUCUUAGUUUGUAGAGCGAUUUGUCUGGUUAAUUCCGUUAAUGAACGAGACCUCAGCCUGCUAACUAACUAUGCAGAGUUUUCCCUUCGUGGCUAGAUUCUUAGAGGGACUACAGCCUCUUAGGCCGCGGAAGUUUAACGCAAUAACAGGUCUGUGAUGUCCUUAGAUGUUCUGGGCCGCACGCGCACUACACUGAUGUAUUCAACGAGUUUGUAGCCUUAGCCGACAGUCCCGGGUAAAAUUUGAAAUUUCAUCGUGAUGGGGAUAGAUCAUUGCAAUUAUUGGUCUUCAACGAGGAAUUCCUAGUAAGUGCGAGUCAUCAGCUCGCGUUGACUACGUCCCUACAUUUUGUACACACCGCCUGUCACUCCUACCGAUGGAAUGAUCCGGUGAAAUGUUCGGAUCAGGCGAUGUGGGUAGUUCGCUACCCGCGAUAUCACAAGAAGUCCAUUAAACCUUAUCAUUUAGAGGAAGGAGAAUUCGUAACAAGGUUUGCAUAGAUAAACCUGCGGAAG
rnacentral:rRNA from 1 species